AACGUAGGUCACAAGCGUUGUCCGGAAUUACUGGGUGUAAAGGGAGCGCAGGCGGGAAGACAAGUUGGAAGUGAAAUCCAUGGGCUCAACCCAUGAACUGCUUUCAAAACUGUUUUUCUUGAGUAGUGCAGAGGUAGGCGGAAUUCCCGGUGUAGCGGUGGAAUGCGUAGAUAUCGGGAGGAACACCAGUGGCGAAGGCGGCCUACUGGGCACCAACUGACGCUGAGGCUCGAAAGUGUGGGUAGCAAACAGGAUUAGAUACCCGUCCGGCUGACUGACU
rnacentral:rRNA from 1 species